UACGAAGGGGGCUAGCGUUGUUCGGAUUUACUGGGCGUAAAGCGCACGUAGGCGGAUCUUUAAGUCAGAGGUGAAAUCCCAAGGCUCAACCUUGGAACUGCCUUUGAUACUGGGGAUCUUGAGUCCGGGAGAGGUGAGUGGAACUGCGAGUGUAGAGGUGAAAUUCGUAGAUAUUCGCAAGAACACCAGUGGCGAAGGCGGCUCACUGGCCCGAUACUGACGCUGAGGCACGAAAGCGUGGGGAGCAAACAGGG
rnacentral:rRNA from 1 species